AUUUGCAGAAUCUUUACAGGACAAAAGCAAGACGGAAAAUGUUAAAGGAAAAAGGAGAAGACCCAAGAAACAAAUGCAAGCAGACACAAAAGUUAGACAGAAGAACUCAAUACAGUACAAGAACCAGCUGGAAAUCCAAAGACACACCAGACAUCAGACAACAAGAAAAUGGUGAAUCUUUAUCACCUUUUGUCGUCUUUAAAAGAAGCGCCCAGCAAUACAGUUCUUCCUGGAUUUGUACAACAUUCACAGCAAGGAUUUGCCGGAGGGUAUGGUAAUCGCAUGUAUUCACAAUGUUGUGGUACCAUCCACCAAAGGGAGACCAGCCCUGUUCAUCGUAGACUCAUUACCCACUCACUCCGCAGUGUGACAGUUGCACUGGAGAACAGCUGUGAAUAUCCCUGAAGGAAUCAUGUGUAACAAAGCAGCCAGCAUUAUGGGAGGAAACCGGGCAGGGCCCAGAGGAAACCCACAACCAUCAGCAGGGGAAGCCCACGACCACCAGCAGGGGAAGCCCACGACCAUCAG